rnacentral:lncRNA from 1 species
GCCACUGCCUCUGCCACUGUCAGUGCCUCUGUUACUGCCUCUGUCACUGUCACUGCCUCUGCUACUGUCACUGUCACUGCCACUACCACUGUCACUGUCACUGCCAUUGCCACUGCCACUGGCACUGCCAAUUCUACCGCCACUGUCUCUGCCACUGCCACUGUCACUGUCACUGUCACUGCCACUGCCAUUGGCACUGCCAAUUCUACUGCCACUGUCUCUGCCACUGCCACUGGCACUGCCUCUGGCAAUUCUAUUGCCACUGCCAUUGUCACUGCCACUGUCUCUGCCACUGUCACUACCUCUGCCACUGCCAUUGCCUCUUCCAAUUCUAUCGCCACUGCCUCUGCCACUGUCACUGCCUCUGCCAAUUCUAUUGCCACUGCCAUUGUCACUGCCACUGUCUCCGCUGCCACUGCCUCUGCCAAUUCUGCUGCCACUGCCUCUGCCACUGUCACUGCCACUGCCUCUGCUGUCACUGCCUCUGCCAAUUCUACUGCCACAGCCCCUGCCGCUGUCACGGCCACUGCCACCUCUGCCCCUUCCCUGUGGUUAAACGGGGUCACUUGGCUCCUGCCCAUGCCGCAGGCCGUAGCGGGGUGUCCGGUGGUGCCAGCCACGCUGCGGCGGGUGCUGCUCCACCUCUGCAGGGCUGCGGGCAGGGGCGGCCGGCGCCAUCCCGCGCUGCCAUCCAGCCCUCCUGGAAAAGCCACAACGGCAGCGGGACCUGGGAGGAGCCGGGGCGUGAUGACUCUGCAGUGGGGCUGCGGAGCCGCCGUCGCUCCCCGCGGCUCAUUGUCUCUGCACGUUGCCUGCAGCCUCCCGUGGGGACCAGCGUGUCCAGGCAGCAUUUGCAAACCACCUGCUGUGGGGCCAGGCUCGGCGGGGAUGGGGGGGGACACACCAGGCAUCUCGGGGACCAGGCGGCAGAGAUGCCAUGGAGCAUCUGGCAAAUGGAUUCCCUGCCUGGAUGCGAGCAGGAGGUGCCCGUGGUGGGUCAGGAGGGACGUGUCUGCGUGGGGUGACCUGCUCUCUCACUCAGCAAUGAAAAUAUGGGGGGAGAAAACCCCCUCGCUGCCCAUUCCUCGCUGCCACCCCCAGAGCUGUGGUGCUGCCGCAGCGGUGCCAGCGCUGCCUCCCUUUGUCUGCAGCUUUCAGGGCUGGGCAGCCCUGGGAGAAGGUGGUGGUGGUGGUGGUGGUGGUGGUGGUGGUGGUGGGACACACAAAGGCUCCCUGCAAACCCAGAAGCGGCUGAAAAUCUGAUUUUCAGGCUGGGCUGCUCCUGGCUCCCCAGGGGAGGAUCCAGUCUCACACACACACACACACAAAAGGCGGUGAGACAAUGGGGGAGAGAAAAUGGCUCCCCAAAAGGAGCCCGGUAGCAUCUGUCAGGUUAACUCUUUGCAGGGAGAAGGGCUGUGCUGAAGCACCCUGGGGAGGGGGGAUGUCGGGCCCAGCCCCUUCUCUAACCCCCUACCUAAGAUCACCAGGCUUAGGAGAAAAUGGUGGUUUCAAGACAAAGAAGUAAACCAGCAUUUUUGGCUACAUUUCCUUCCCAGGAGCAUUGAAAACCGGGCAAGAAUCCAUUUACCUGUCUCGAGCCCUAUUCUUGAUGAGGUUUCUGAAAAAAAGAUACAGACAAGCGGUGCAUCAGUUAAUCUUAAUUUUGGUAGGGGGGCUGCAGAGGGUGCCCGACGGUAGCCAGGCUGCCCGGGUACCACCAUCCAGACCGGGCAUCACCCCCCCUGGGCCGGGUCUGUGGUUUGGAAGAUGCUGCGGAUGCGCUGCUGCUCCUGCCCCUAACAAAGAGAGCGGGGCCCAGGCUGCCCCCAGCCUGGUACCCCCCAAGAAAAGAUGGUGUCUCCUGCCAUUGGGUUCGUGGGGGGGUUAUUGAUAACCAGGGAAUAAGAAUAUAAAGGGAGGGGGUGUAAUUUUUAAUUUUUUAUUGGAGAGGGAGCGGAUGGAGCAGCAGCCUCCCGGGAGCGAUGCCCGCAGGACCAGCCGCAUCCCGGGGGGAGCAUCACUCCACGGGGCAGAGCAAAGCACUUGGGGACAUGGUGUGCAGGAUCCAUCCCAAUCCAUAAGGGAGGAAGGGGUGGCAGAGAGGACAGC